UAGCUCAGUUGGUAAAGAAUCUGCCUGCAAUGCAGGAGACCCAGGUUUGAUCCCUGG
rfam:TPA: Bos taurus chromosome 1, whole genome shotgun sequence.